UGCCCAAAGAGAUCGGGAUAACACCUGGAAAACAGAUGCUAAUACCGGAUAACAACAGAUGAUGCCUAUCAACUGUUUAAAAGAUGGUUCUGCUAUCACUCUUGGAUGGGACCCUGCGGUGCAUUAGCUAGUUGGUAGGGGUAAACGGCCUACCAAGGCGAUGAUGCAUAGCCGAGUUGAGAGACUGAUCGGCCACAUUGGGACUGAGACACGGCCCAAAACUCCUACGGGAGGCAGCAGUAGGGAAUCUUCCACAAUGGACGCAAGUCUGAUGGAGCAAACGCCGCGUGAGUGAAGAAGGGUUUCGGCUCGUAAAGCUCUGUUGUUGGUGAAGAAGGACAGGGGGUAGUAACUGACCUUUGUUUGACGGUAAUCAAUUAGAAAGUCACGGCUAACUACGUGCCAGCAGCCGCGGUAAAU
rnacentral:rRNA from 1 species